AUAUUUAUCAAUUGAAUAGUCUAUUUUGAAAAAAAAAAAAAAAAAGUUUUCCCAGGACGAGGCUAUCCCAUUGCACUUCGGGUGUGCUGACGCCUGUGAUGUCCCCAAAUGCGGGAUACUCGACUGCAAAAUUUGUGGCAGUGGGGGACUGCGUUCGCGCUCUCCCGAU